GUCCGUCAGUGCGGCGUUAACGGGCGUUACGUUGACCGUAAUAGACGGUGUAUAUGCGCACCAACCGGCAACCCAGCCUCAUUUUACUGUGUCAGGGAUGCUCUUAAAGGGGCAGUUCACCGGUUCUACCCACACAGAGAAGUAAAGGCGAGAGACGAAGAUCCUGAGGCGGAGAUUGGGCGUUUUGCUGAGGAACUGGGACAGUGUGACGGAGCAGUUGACGCAGGGAGACCAGGAGCAGAACCAGGUGAUGGAGUAACUGAGCCUUUUCUCUCCGGGGCCUCCCUGCCCCCACAAACCAGGGCACAAGGCUCCCAGGCACUUCUCAUAUGCUCCCCCAUCUUGACCCACAUAACUCACCUCUACAUGGCAGCCAUUGCGAUUGCGGAGGUGUCCAAAGUCAAAAGUUAAGGAGUCUGGCCCCACUCGCCUCUUCACUACGAAGCAGAGAGCCCCUCCUGAGACAGCAGCCUGUUAUUUCCACUGCCCCCCCACCCACCUCCUUCUCUCUUUUUUUCACUCCUUCUCUCCCUCUCCAGGGUGAAGGAAAGAGUGAGGAGUGAGAGACGGAUAGGAGCAGGAGAGAGGUGUUGUCCAGACCAGAAGGGGCCUCUGAAAGUGUUGCAUAGAAACAACCUAACUAUACCUUUCCUAACCUAAACCUGUCCUUUCCUAAACCUACACCAAGCUGACGGUCGGCCAUCGGAGAGUCAGCAUGUUGAAUCGGCGGUGGAGCCCGUCGGUGAGAGAAAUCACUCUGAUUGGCGGUUCAGCUUAAACUAAUCAGUGCACAAGAAGAGAA